rnacentral:rRNA from 1 species
UACAGAGGUCUCAAGCGUUGUUCGGAUUCAUUGGGCGUAAAGGGUGCGUAGGCGGCGCGGUAAGUCGGGUGUGAAAUCUCGGGGCUUAACUCCGAAACUGCAUUCGAUACUGCCGUGCUUGAGGACUGGAGAGGAGACUGGAAUUUACGGUGUAGCGGUGAAAUGCGUAGAUAUCGGGAGGAACACCCGUAGCGAAGGCGGCACUCUGGGCCGGAACUGACGCUGAGGAGCGAAAGCGUGGGGAGCAAACAGG